rnacentral:ncRNA from 1 species
CACAAAGGUUUAGUCCCAGCCUUGAAAUCAGUUACUACUUAACCUACACAUGCAAGUCUCCGCAUCCCCGUGAGAAAGCCCCUAAACCCUUAUGGAUUUAGAGGAGCAGGUAUCAGGCAAACCUCACCCAUGACACCUAGCCUUGCCACACCCACAAGGGCAAUCAGCAGUGACUAAUAUUGAAUUAUGAGCAACAGCUCGAUUCAGUUAAAGUAAUUAGGGCCGGCAAAUCUGGUGCCAGCCGCCGCGGCCACACCAUAGACCCAAAUUGAUUUCUAUCGGCGUAAAGCGUGGUUAAAGCCUUUCUAAAACUAGAGCUAAACCAAGACCUUCACAGUCAAAUUAUUCUCUUUGAGUAAAUCCAUAAACGAAAGUUGCUCUACUUAAUUCACUUGAACCCACGAAAGCUAGGACAUAAACUGGGAUUUGAUACCCCACUAUACCUUGCCGUAAACUUUCAUUUACACCUCUCCACUAACGCCAGAAAACUACGAGCAAAGCUUAAAACCUAAGGGACUUGACGGUGCCCAUAUCCUACUAGAGGAGCCUGUCCUAUAAUCGAUAAUCCCCGUUGAACCUCACCACUUCUAGCCCGUCAGCCUGUAUAUUUCCGUCGUAAGCUAACCACAUGAGUGACACCCAGUUAGUUCAAAGACUCCCCUCGUCAACACGUCAGGUCAAAAUGCAGCAAAUGAAGUGGGAAGAGAUUGGCUACACUUUUUAUUAUAAAAGAAAACGAAAGACAAUAAUGAAACUUUGUCAGAAGGCGGAUUUAGCAGUAAAAAGAAUUCAUAACAUUCAUUUGAAUCUGGCACUGGAGCGUGUACAAACCGCCCGUCACCCUCUUCGACAAAUAACCCAAACAGUAUUUAACAAACUAUUUUUACCAGAGAAGAGGUAAGUCGUAACAUGGUAAGUGUACCGGAAGGUGUACUUGGAAA